ensembl:lncRNA
AAAUUCUCCAAGCAGCAGGGUUGUGUGGGACCCAGAAGAGAUGUCACGGCUUCCACGGGCCCCGGGAGGUAUCCUGGAAGGUUCUGUGCGGCCCCUACAUUUUGUUUCUCCUUCAUCCCGUGUUCUGUGGGAUUUGCGACUCACCUCUCUAGGAAAUGUCUAGCCAGUCCUUCUCUGAAGGGACCCCCAACCCCCUCUGGCUGAAUCUUCGUUCCAAGUGGGGUCUCAGGGUCUUUCCCCAACGCUCCUCUUCAGCAGAAUCAGCUGGAUCAAGAGUGUCUUCCCCGAUGCAACUGUUAACCAGCGAUAAACCUAGAAGCGCUAAUGUCUGGUUAGAGAGCAGCAGCUGACCAAGUCCUUUCUGGCAUCCGUGGGAGAACAGAGAAGUCCUGAGGCCUAGAGAACCAGGAGGCAGCAGCAGCAGGAGGAGUUGGUCUUCUCAUGAAAUUCUACCCGACUAUCAGUCCCUUGGGAUCCUGUAAACCAGCAUUCCAUGAUGGCCCAGGACACAUGGGAAGACACAUUUUACAGCUCCCAAACCUCUACCCCUGUGCCCUGAGCAUUCUCUGGGCCCUCAACAAGGUGAGCAUGCGACCAUGCAGAUGAGGACAAGACUGCCUGGAGGCUUCGCUUGUCAAGCUCUUUUUGAAUCCUGAUUUUGUCUCACAAGCCCAUGUAACCUACAGGGUCACUGUGCCUUCUUUUGGUCGAAUUCUGAGGUUGGGAGAAGAGGAGUUCUGCUUCUCUAUACCUCCCCGGAGCAGGUGGGGUCCAAAUGGCCCUUUCAAGAGGGUAGGUAGAGCCUGCAGGAACAAUCGUGUGCUGUCCAAACCCUGGGCCUGGAGGGAAAUCCAGACACACUGUCCAAAGGACAUGACUAGCAUUGGCCCCAGAUGGCCCAUGUGUUUCCAAAGGAAGAGCAUGGAUUCUUCCUCUGGAGGUUGUGAGGGAAGCAACCAAGGGCCUGGCAGGCAAGAAGCCAAGGUCUAGGAAGCUCUCCUAAAGCCUACAUACAGCUCUCUGGAGUGUGCAAAGGAGGGGCUGUGUUCAGGAAGCAAACCUAGUGGGAAGAAGACAGGAAGCACAACAGAAUACCAGGCCAGACGGAGUGGGCUUUGCCGAGCUUUUGGCAGGAAGAGUUGAGGGACGAAAGCUUCCUGCUGAGGCCAGUGCUGACAACUUGCCGAUUGACUUCCCAGGAGGAGAUGGGUUCAGGGUUGAGAUGGGCAGUGCUGAAGAUGAUCCACCUGGACGUGGUUGCAAGAAAUGAUGGAGCCAGAGCUGAAAAUGAGAAUGGAAAGAACGCACACCGUCACCGUGACUCCAGUGAGCUGGACGUGGUAGUGCACUCCUGUCAUCCCCGCACUCUAGAAGGCUGAGUGAGGCAGGAUUGCAAGUUCAAGCCCAGCCUGGGCAACGUGUGACUUAGAAAGAACUUCUUUCAAAGUUUCAAAAAAAAAAUAAAAAGGGUGCUGGGGAUGCAGCUAGUUGUGAAGGCCCUGGGUUCAAUCCCCAGUACUGAAGAAGGAGGGGAGGAGGAAGAGGAGAAGGAGACAGCUCCAGUGAGAGUGGUGCAGAGGACACAGCCCAGGACAAGGCCGAGCACAUACUAAGAGAAGCGUGUCCUGAACCAGGAUGGAGGCCCCUCCUCGGGCCGAAGGAACAAGGCUCCUUCUCUCCCCAUCCUGCCAGCCCCGGGACCCUCCCGCUCAGGUGACUUGUGCCACCUGAAGGCUGGAAUGGAAUUCCAGCUAAAGUACCUCACAGAAAGGAAUUUUCCUCUUCUCCUCCCUGGCUAUUCAAUAGCACAAUACAUAGAGUAAAGGUGAAGGGCCAGGUGGAGGAGAGCUGCUCACCUCAAGGCAGCCAGGAAGGAGAGAAGGGAGGAGCCCAGGACAAGGACACACCUCCCAGGUCAUACCCCAGGGAUGGCCUCUAGCCACCCCUACUUCCUCACAGCACAUUUGGUUACUGAAUUCAUCCAUGGAUGAAUCCACUGACAGCACAGCACCCCAGGAUCCAGUUGCUUCUCACACACAGUGGCCUGGGGAGACUUUAGAUCUAAAACAUGCUACCUUCCCAAGAGCUAAACAACUUCCACUGCUCCCAUGUCGGUGACCCCUUCCUCUAGUGGUCCUUUAAUCACACCAUGAGUCCUGUGUUACAGCUUGAAUUUCAAGCAGCCCCAGCAUCUGCACCUCAGACACAGCAACACUCAGAUACAUUUUUCAGCCACUGUGGAUGAGAAUAGCUGGACAGAACAUGAUGCUAAUGGCAGAAAGCAGACCAUAGGGAUAGAAGGAAAGAUGGACCCACACUCGGCAAGCUGAGGAGCCCACUCUCUGGGUCUCUCUGCUCCAGGGACACUUCUGGCUCUCCUGCUCUCCUACUAAUGUGCUGAAGGCAUUCUUUGGAGCUCUGGAAUGUUUUUGAAGGACACAGGGCCUCAUGACUCAGCCUGUGAGCAGGAGCUGGGCAGAGCCCAGUCAACUGUGCGAGUGUACUGGUACCAGUGUUCCACAGAGCCACUGGUCCCAUCAGGGUCAAGGUGCCCCCUGAGGACAGCAGCAGGACAUCAGCACCCACCACACGAAGUGGACUGUGGUUCCAGGCAGUGCUGGCAGCAAAUUCCAGAGCCCUGCAAUCAAUAC